AUCUGCAUUACUUUCUGUCUGCAAUUCGGUUUGUGCUCAUUCACUUAAGAGAUGGCAAUUUUCUGGUUUUUGGCUUCUUUUGCAUAGGUACUGCACUGUAUCUUUUGGAACUGGUUGUUCUGUUUUUUCUGCUUAGCACUGUACGGUUCUGGCCUUGCUGUGAAUCUCAUUUUGUGAUUGCAAAUCUGCAUGUUUUUUCCUGCUACUGCUCCUUUGAAUUUCGUCAGCUUUUGGAUUUAAGGUGGCAGCAAGUAGUCUAAAAUGAGGCCAAAAGGCACCAUCCAAAGGUGUCUAUUUGCUGGAUGAUGUUUGUGGAACCACCACCCAAGCAAAGAUGCUCCUGCUAUGCUCAACAGCAUAGACAACAUGAAAAUCACCAACCACUCAAGGCACUGUGUGCAGAGAUUCUUUUUAUAAAUACACGAUUUUGGUAAUUUAUAAUUUUAGUUGAUAUUUCUUUUCUGUUCUGUGAGGUUUCCAUUUUCUUCUUCUUCAUUUCCUUAAGAAUUGAAUAAUAAAUCUUCAGCAACAAUAACAGAAAGAGGGAAUGGUUUUGUGGAACAUGACUGGCAGCAGGUUGAAAGAAGUGAUGUUUGUCCUUCACCAAGUGAGCAUAUUUCCUGCAACGAUGUCCCUACAUCAUCAAAUAAAAUUGGAAUCCCUCUUCAAGUAUCAAAAGAAGACUAUGAUUCAACAACUGUUGAAGUGGGGCUAACAUCUGAGCAAAGACCCACCAUGGAUGGUGAGGAAAUUGUUAAGUCAGGCAGUAAGCUGACUGCUGACAACAUCUGAACCAACCCCUGUUUCGAGCGAUAUUGCUCAGCAAAAUUCUGUUUUACUGGAUCUUGGCGAUGCUUAUAAGUUAACUGUCGGUAAUAGAGGAAGGUAGCUGUCUGGCAUGCUUGCAGAAGUCUGGACUGGGAAAGAUUCUACAAGAGUUAGUGAAGAUUUGAAGACAUUGUUGUCAUAAUUUUCUGCCACUCGAGGAUCUGAUCUGCCUUUUUAUGAUAUCAGUCCUAGAUUGUCUAAAUAGCGAUGAAGUGAAGACUUCUGAUGUUUCUAACUCUGCUGGAAUGCAUAUGCUUCAAAAAAUUAUUUCACUUGAGAGAAACGAGUCUGGUUUGUCUCUUGAUGGAAGCAUUGACAGUGAAAUCGAAGGUGAAAGCUCGGUUGACAGACUAAGAAGACAAGUUGAUCAUGACCGGAAACGUUUAAAUGCUUUGUAUAAAGAGCUGGAGGAAGAAAGAAAUGCUUCUGCAGUUGCUGGGAGUCGAGCAUUAGCCAUGAUCACUAGGCUACAGGAAGAAAAGGCAACAUUACACAUGGAAGCCUUGCAAUAAUUUAGAGUGAUGGAUGAGGAGUCAGAGUAUGAAACAGAAGCUUUGCAAAAGGCUAACAACCUUCUUGCUGAAAAGGAAAAAGAAAUAGAAGACUUGGAAGCAAAGCUUGAGUUUUAUAGGAUGCGAUUCCCCCAUGAAUCAGUUUCGGAGAACAUUGUGGAGACAAACUCUGAAAUGAAGUUGAAAGAUAUUGGAUUAGAUCAUUCACAAUUUACUCGCAUUGAAAAUGAUGAAAGUGUCAUUGGAAAAUUAGUUACUGAGAAUCCUAAUAUCUCUGACAAAUCUGACAUUCUACCCACAUCUUUGGAGGAAAAAAAUGUUCAAUCUAUAAAAAGUUCACCUUUAGAGUUUCAAGAUGAAAAGCUAUAUAGUUCCCAAUGUUUAGAGAAGUUGGAGAAGCCACUCUCUUCUUUAUCACCAACAGUGUCAUUGUUAAUAUUGUCUUUGAUCAAAUUUCAGAUUAUUGAAUAGGGAUAGCAGACAGAUAAACAAUCUUUCUAAUUUCCCUUUUUCUUUUCCCCCCCUUCCAGACCUGAGUGUUUCCAAGUUUCAACAUUUUGCCUGGAUUAUUCAAGUCAUAUUGGAAAGAAGCUCGAAGUUUGAUCUGAUUAACUUUUAAGCAAUUGAUUUCUCCUUUCGAGUUUGCGUGUCAAUGGCUACCGCGGGAGUCUCGUCUUCUGAGUCGCACAUGCAUAGCCUUCCCAGACGUGUUAACUUUUUCCUAUUUAUUGAUGCUGUUCUAUCUUAUGUUAUUACAAAGUUUGCCGGUUACUGCAAAUUGCAAACGCUGUGCCUGAUCUGCUCAAGCUUGAUCAUGUUUUAGGCAAGGAGAAAAGAGAGGACUUUUUAAGGCUAUGGCUAUUUUAAAGCGGAAGAAAUCAAAGACUUUUGCACCUCAUGUGGUAUUAUUACAAAUUACUCAAGCUAAAUUUAACAGUCUAUUUUAUUAUGUUUACAGCUCAAUGCUUUAAAACUAUAUUUGAGCCAUGUAAAACACGAAUUCUUCUAUGUUUUAUUAGUUUCUUCCUAUGUCAUUGCUUGCUAGGCAUCCAGAGUAAGAAGGAUUGGUCAAGUCAGUUUGUUUUCUUUGACUGUGCUUGCUUUUGGAGUGACAGAAUUGGCUAUCAGAAAAAUUCUUGCUUUGCUUUGGUUGGAGAAUAUGAAUCACUCCAUGUUGAUAAACUUGGGGCAUUAUUGUUGACAUGGUUUGGUUGAAUUUAUAAUCAACAUGAAAUCAGUCCAAGCAAUAGUUUAAAUGCUAUGUGAUUAGGAUAGAGUGGUUAAUCAUCAUGAUUUUUAGGAUAACAUGUUGUAACAUGGGUAGUUCACAAUAUGUUCCUUUUCUUAUUUUAUUUUCAUCCACUUUCUAUUUUAUUCCCUACUAGAACUCUUCAAUCCUGAUAAGCUUAUAAAAAGAGAAAUUCAAGUAUGGGGUUUUCUUUAUAGUUGGGAAGACUGCUGUUUUUCAGAUUCAAAUUCUCUUCUCUCUCAAGAUAUUGCUGACUUUAGAGCUUUCACCACUCAUUUUUUCUUAUAAAUGUUUUGGUUCACCUAUAGAACAAGCAAAGUAAUCAUAGGGUUCAUCACAUUGUUUGCCAAAAAAGGCUCCGAGUAUCAUAUCUUACAGGUUUGUUGCACUAUUUUUAUAAUAUAAUGUUAUAUAUAAUUUCAUUUAAAACUUGUUUUAAUAAAUAUUUCUUAUAAAAAUAAAAUUACAACUAAUAUUAUUAAUUUUAAUUAUCUACUAAUUGUUUUCAUUAAUUUGUAUAUCAUAAUUAAAUUUAAAUGCAAAACAUUUAUAAUUGAAAAUGGUGUCAUGUAAUUGUAUGUUUGUGUAAGUUUCUUUCGCUCCACAUCUAAAUUAAAUCCACGGUCUAAUUAUAUUGUACAAAACCAAGAUUAUGUUACAUUAUGCCAUAUAUUAUUCAAGAUAUAGCAUUUAUUAAAUACUAAAAAUAGCUCCCGUUUGGAAUUGUUUGUUACUUAUCUUAAAUUUGUUGUAUAUAUUAUGGAUAUCAUAGAAGAUAUUGAAUUGAGAUGUUUUAAUAUUUAUAUUUUUUUUUGGUACAUCGGAAAAUUA